rnacentral:lncRNA from 1 species
CAUGAUGUAUGUACAACUUCCUAGGUCAAAGGGCAAGGUAAAAAAACUUUGGUUUCAGUUGACAACCCUGUGUCCUGUGGUGAAGAUCGUGUCCGCUCUAUAUCUUGAGAACCGUUAUGAUUUCAAAGUUUAUACUUGACAUGUAUAUAAACCAACACCAGAGGGUGUGUCAUAAUUUAUGAACGACUGCCUAGGGCAAAGUUCAAGGUCAAAAACUUUGGUUUCAGUUGACAACCCCAUGUCCUAUGGUAAAGAUUGUGUCCGCUCUAUAUCUUGAGAACCGUUAUCAUUUCCAAGUUUAUACUUGACAUGUAUAUAAACCAACACCAAAGGGUGUGUCAUAAUUUAUGUGCAACUUCCUAGGUCAAAGGUCAAGGUCAAAAACUUUGGUUUCAGUUGACAACCCCAUGUCCUAUGGUAAAGAUCGUGUCCGC